rnacentral:rRNA from 1 species
GGGGAAUUUUGCGCAAUGGGGGGAACCCUGACGCAGCGACGCCGCGUGGGUGAUGAAGGCCUUCGGGUCGUAAAGCCCUGUCUGGGGGGAAGAUAGUGACGGUACCCCCGGAGGAAGCCCCGGCUAACUACGUGCCAGCAGCCGCGGUAAGACGUGGGGGGCAAGCGUUGUCCGGAAUUACUGGGCGUAAAGGGCGUGUAGGCGGCCUGCCAAGUCAGCUGUGAAAUUCCCCGGCUCAACCGGGGGACUGCAGUUGAAACUGGCGGGCUUGAGUGCAGGAGAGGAGGGUGGAAUUCCUGGUGUAGCGGUGAAAUGCGUAGAUAUCAGGAGGAACACCGGUGGCGAAGGCGACCUUCUGGCCUGUUACUGACGCUGAGGCGCGAAAGCUAGGGGAGCAAAC